GCCUUAUCAUUAUGCUUAUAUGUAUGUAUUUAAGAUUCGACUAAAAAAUUAAUUAAAAAUAAACAUUAUCUUCUUAAACACCGAAACAAUCUUUUCGAAACAUUUAUAUAAUCUGUUUGCAAAUUUUUAUAUACAAACCACGCACGAUCGGCCAUCCCGUGACAAAGUUUAUUGUAUCGAACAAGCAAAUUAUUGUUUUAAGUCUCUAAGUAUCUUCUUGUCGAUUCUAUCGAUAACAUUUUUUUAAACAAUUUAGAUACAAAGAUCAUUUUUAAUAACAAAUGUAAAAGUGGGCCUUAUUUUGUGCUAGGCUAUAUUUGAUUCAGGUAUUUCAUUGGAAAUAUUGUUUUUUAAUGUUUCUAUCACGUUGCUUUGAGCAAUAAAGGCACAGCCAUGCUGUUUUCUACUGUGUUCAAUAACCCUCUGUGCGUGCACCAAUUUAUUAGAGCUUGGAUCAGUCAACUGCCGUACGCAUACGUUAACAAAUUCAUUACGCUUUUGAGAACACAUACGCGCGCGAAUACAGAAAUCACUAUGAUUUUAUUGGAACGUUAUGGCGCUGUGAAGUCGAUAAUUGAAAGUUGCACCGUGACCGUUAUCGAUUGUUUCUAACUUGUUGGAUAUAACAUUGCAAUUUACGUUCUAGGGAUACGGAGAAAUAUAUUCUCAGUAAGUAAGUAUUAACACAAGUAUUAAUUAAUAAUAUAAAGGACAUUAGCCUGCGAAGUAAUACGCGGUUUCUCCUCAUUUCAUGUUAUCAAGUUGUCGAGUUUAUAUUGCCCAAAGUCUUCUCGACUUAACGUUCAUCCCUUGACACUAGUGCAAAUGGGAUUGUGGAAUUAAAGAUUAGCAGGGAGGAUAGUAGAGAUAUCCCGUUAAGGAACAUUUCGAGGAUUCUCGUCUCGAUAAGCCCCGCGCCGAUCUUCGGGCUUCUUAGAGGCGUCCUGGAAUUAUUUAGUGAUGCGUAAGCCGUUCCGGGCUUGCCUCCAGACCGAGGUUAAUGGCUUCGAUUCCCAGAAGUGCGUCCGCCAAACCCUCUAAGUUAAGGAUAGCUCAUCGGCUCCUAACUGCAAGUAUACAAUUACUAAAAUAGUCAAACCAACUGAUAUAUUGUACGCGUACGAUUGUAGCGUAAUACAGUUCUAUCUCGCUGCUUCGUCAUUUAAAGUAAAGGAAAUCGUUAUCUAUGCGAAAAAAAAUCUUGACGAGGAAAAAAAUAGUAUAUAAUGCACUCUUCGGAAAAGCAUGGGAGUUUUAUAUGCCGUCAUGAUGACGGGUAGCUGUUUGAUCAGCGAGCAGAUAUGUAUCGGUAAAGAAUAACGACUCGACAUGCAUUAUGUUGUACACAGGGAUAUAUAAUACCGGGAAUGACUGCGCAGGAUAUGAAACUUUCUGAUAAUACAAUCUUGUACUGCACUGGAUUUACUUUCCGGCUCGAAAUCUGACAGUCAAGAGCGCAAAAUUUUCGAUAUCGAAAGAAAGAGAACAGGGAGCGGCUGUAGGAGGUUGUGCAAAGAGGGGAAAAAAGGCUGUAGAGGAAUCGACAGAAGCUCGAGCUGUAUUACGUUUAUUUAUUGAUCGUAUUUGCCUUCCAGCCAACUGAAUCCUGGAAGAAUUAAUCCCGCUUUGCUCGGCCGAAGUACAGCAUAUUCGCGAUGCGACGAAAUAAACUGCUACUCAUAUUCCGUACUGUAUUCCAGUGGAACUGUUAUUUCGAGAUAAAAUAGAACAAUGUGAAUUGGUAAAACUCUGUAAAGCCUGGAUGAAUUGCAGUUACAUUUCAUCGUUAUAACGAACGAAUGUUCUUUCAUCGCUAAUGUUUAUUUGUUAAAUAUAAGAGGAUUUCAUCACUGAAUAUAUUUAUAGUUUGACGGAAACAAUUCCUUAUUUUGUAUGAAAACUUGGCGGACGCACUCAACGCGGACAAAAUAUCAUACGUCACAAGUGUUGCACUUAGUCUGAUUAAAUCUUUCCGAGGUUAAACGAGAAGGGCUUCAUGAACGAGCAUAUCUUAUUCUCUUGGCAGUUUCGUUCUGAGGUGAACUCAAUGAAAGCUAGCGGAUGCAGCGGAGAAGCCACGGCGGACCCCGCGGAAAUAGGAAGACGCUCGACCAAAAGAUGGCAGAGAAGGACGGAAGUGGUUGGAAGAGGCAUUAUAUUAUGUGCCAUGGGGCUAAAUUGAAUUCUCGCGCCGCUGCUUUCCGGAAAUAAUAUUAUGUUUUAUGUCCCCGACACCCGCGCGAAGCCCUAUUGGAAUCCCUUAAUAGGAAUUUUUCACAUUUUCCGCCAGCUCCCAACGAAUAAGAUCAGCUAGAGGUGGCAGCAUCCAUUGGCACAGAUUCCGAUCUGCCGGGGAUUGAAAAUGGCGGAGGCGAGCCGAGGAACACCACACUGCGGCUUUCCUCCCGUUCAAAACCUUCUGGUUGAAGCGUACGCGCACGAAUGCGGCAAUGGUGGUGGUGACGAUGCGAUGGGCUUCGCCGGAGUUUUACCCCUGUUUGCUUUUGCUAUUCGCUUUCCUGCCACAGUGGGCGCGAGGAAAAAUUCCAGCAUUGCUGCCUGGUACCGCCAACGCCAGCGAACUACCACCGAUAUCAACGGUCUAGAGUUGCCAUCAUCUUCCGCCGAUAGAAAGUUCUGGUUUCUUCAGCUUUCGGGAUAGCGUGGCGCACGCGACGCUUGAUAACUUUUAAAAGAACGACGCUAAUCGAAGCGAACACCUGCGCCGUAAUAUUUUACAUUUAACUCGACUCCUAAGACAAGACUUGGCAGUUUCAAAUUAUCACUCUAUUUCUUUCCGUAGUAGAUUUAUUUAAUGGAGACGUAUCAAAAAUUCCGAACGAUUGAUUGAAACGAAUAAUCCGAUGAAGGAUAAAAGGAGAACUUGAAAGAGCUAUGGAACCAGAAUCGCGUUAAAGUAACUUACUGAAAAACGUUCGAAUUAAUGACUGAUCCCUUGUGGUCUUUUUUUUUUUUUUACCAUUUUCUCUUCCCUUUGAAUGUGGAGAGUUCGUUCGUUUCAGCGGUGAUACAAUUCAUUCGCGGUUUUCUCGAAAAGUGGUCGGCAACCGACGGAUCUAUUUGUUUGAGAUGUAUGUACAUCGCAUAUGCUAUUUUCAGUUAAAUCGCGUGUACUCAGCGAUCUCGCGGUUAAACGCGCCACGUUUCUAUCGCAAACAAAUGCGCACGUAAUAAAGUUGGCAAACGUUUUUCCUACCUCCAGGUUGUAUCGAGAGAUACGACCUUUUUUUUAAUUGCAACAUGAAUUUUUAAAUCGGGCAGCAACUUUAAAUAUUCAUGUCUCGUCCCGGAACGGCAAUCCAUUUCACGGAACGCAAACUGCCGGUUAUUUCUCCUCGUUAUUGCGUACGCGCGGCAUUCACGUGAUGGCAUAAGCGUUGAUUUACAGAUAAUUUAUUGACGCUCGCUCUGUCGGCUCUCACAUAUAUUUAGCAUAAAUAAAUUCGUUAUGCGACUUGCUUUUUCAUGUGCCCCCUAACGGAGAUAAACGAUUUUCAUGCCCAUUUCUCUUCAAAACGACUAAAACGAUAUCGUAUCGCGACACUAACUUAAGACUGUAGCACAAUUCUUAAUUACGCGCCGUAAAAUUCCGGCGUAAUGAUAAACCUGUAUUAAGACUGCCGGGGGAGGGAAGAAUAUUUCAGAGUUAAAAACAUUUUUUGCGACGGACUCUUUUCAGAAACGUACGAAACCUAUCUGUAACCUGGUUCAAGACAGUUUUAUCGUCGUCGCGAGAUAUACUGUACGAGUCGCGCGCGCAGGUCUCGGAAUCGAUUUACCGCGCUCAUGCUUUACACGCGAACAGUUUAGUUUCGCGGUGUACAAUGGAUUUUUGGAGCUGCUCGUACAACGCUCGAUUUUUUUUGAAAAUUACGACCGUGUCGCCUCUUUGUACGCCGACUCCACUUUUCUCGUUCGAAUUUCGUUUAACGAUAACUCGCAAAAAAAAAAAAAAAACGCAUUAGCAUAAACGCAUUCAGACGGAAUGCAGAUACAGGUGCCAGGCUCCUUUUCCUUUGAAUGGAAAAGGAAAUUCAAGGUAUUCAAAUGUAUUCCGAAGAAGUGUAUCUUUGGUGCGAAACAGCUCGUAGUUUUACGAGUUUACCUACGCCGACGAACGUUUAAUGUCCGCCACUUUCUACCAGCAAAUAACAUAAUAACAAACCAAAGAGAGAGAGAGAGAGAGAGAGAAAGACGUGGAAUAACGUUAUUACCAUAACAGCUGAUUCGAUCUUGAGUCUUAUGAAUCACGUAUUUUAUGAGCUGAGUAUAUUUCCCAUCUAAUAAAGCAUCGAUAUCUUGUUGCGAGAGAUACGAGCUUAAGUCGAACGACGCGAUAGCGAGAUUCGACUGGUUUUACCUCGUAAAAGUUCCAUUCGCGCGGAACCUCGUGAUUGCGUGCUAAGGCUCCGUAAAAGGUGCGCUCGUUGUCGUGGGACUUAUCGAACUAUCGACUCGCUUCCAAAGUAUUCGCCCUCGCUUUCAUUGGCCCAGAUAAAAAAGCUCGAAGCUUAUUUGUCGGUGAGUCGUUUCCUUCCGAAAGCGCGGCAUUUAUCGCGCCGAGAUAUAUGGAAAUUGCGCGGAAAGAUAACGAUUCUCUUUGCUUUCCUUGGCGUUGGCCCCUAACGAGCCGGCGCGCGCGGCGCGUCUUCGAGAGAUCGUAGAUAUCGCGACGUAUCUGGCGGAUUAAUGAGGAUUCCGCGACGUAUAUAGGCCAGGCGGCUUAUUUUCGUUUCGAUUCUAACUAUACUGCAACUGCACCUACGAUCCCGUCCGUCUCUCGUGGUCGGCGAGUUCUUGGGCGCGCGCUCGAGCGGGUUCGAGAGUGACGAAUACACAAAUUUUCCUCGUUUAGAAUAAUUUAUCGCGCUUGCCUCCUCUCGUCUCGAUUGCGACCUGUUAGACCGAGUGCGAUUCAAUGAAAACAGCCGCGUUUUCUCUCGUUGAGUUUAUUUACACAUCAUUCAGUAUAACUUUCAGCAGGCGUUUAUACGAUCAAAUGAGAGUAUUGCUGCGAUUUGUGCAGUCGCUUCGAUUGCCUCAAUGGUGAGAGACAUUUUUAUUGCGCUCCGCUGAUAGCUGGAAGUAAAAUGUUCAUUAAGCAGAAUCAAUAUUGCCAUCCGUAUAUACAAAAUAGGCGUACGUGAAAUUUUAUUCGGCGCGAACUGCCGCCUGUUUCGAUAUUCCGUGUAGUAAAUAGCAUUUCCGAUAUCGGUGAAAAAUAACACGUUUUGUAUACACAUUCACGCUUUUAACGCUUUCACGAUAAAAUGCAGAGGCGCAUACUUCUUAUAAUUUUCAUCCCUAAUUUUCUUGUUGCAUCAAAAUGUCUCGUGCACGUGAUGUUUCUCCAAAACACGUUAGAAUUUAUCGAUAAUUUCCAGCAGCUCUGAGCUAUUAAAAUUUUUAUCACGCGCCGAACAAUAAAUAGAAAAUAUAUUACGUAGUAUUUACGUUUAUGCAUAUAUUUCAAUUCUUAAUUAAGAAAAAAUAAUAUAUGCACAUUGUAUUUGCAUUUAUCAUGUCACAACAACAAAGUUUCCGUAUUUAAAAGAAAGAGAAAAAUUACUAUUUGCAUAAUAUGAUACAAAAUGAAUAGUUUUAAUAAUAAGUAUAUGUGCGGCACAAAAAAUAUGGUAAAUAUUGAAGAAUGGCAAUAUCCUUUGUCGCUCAGAAAUUCCGAAGAUCCUUAACUCGUAGAUUCCGAUCGUGAGGAAAACACUCGCUUCUUCCGAAUUAAUUUAUCUCGAUGCUACCGUACAUUUCACUGGCUCUCCUCCGCUUCUCGAUUCAUUACAUCUCCGAUUGCGACGUUCUACUUCCUUUUUCAUCGUUUAACGACACUUAAAGUUCGUAACUCUUCAGCAGCUUCGAUUCGCCGAGUAACGACUUGGUAAUUUCUGCGCGACAUUAUCGCUUACGUCGCUGGAUUCAUAAAACUUUAGCGUGCGCGACGAACGCGUCAAAUAACAGCGUGAAAAUGAACUAAGCCCCGCGAUCGCGUUGCAAGCGUGAAAGUAACGAGAAGCUGUGCAAUAUUGUAUGAAACUGGGUCGCCAUCGACUGCGUUUCGUAGUGCGCUGCCUUCGUGAAACAAAAUCAAACAAGGGGAAAAAUUUCGCUUAAAAAUUGCAGAUAUUGUUACAUAGUGACACAGUAUAAAUUACAACUCAAGAUUUUUACGUAAAAAAAACUUGGGUAAACGUUAACCGAACGUCUACUUGCAAUUGUAUAUUUUUACAUCGUAAAAAUGGAAAAAAGAUAAGUCUGUGAUAAUGGUUACCAGAUCUGAGGACGUCGAUCAUUAAAAAAAAUUGAUUAUUCUUAUUAUUUGUACUUAUAUAUAAAAUAAUGUACACACCGAACUCAAAGUUAUAAUCUAUCCUACUCGUUAUUGUACGUCGAUGUCACGUAAGAUAUCCUGAUCGUCACGGAUAUCGACAAAUGUCACCCACGUUCUGCAGAAUGUCGCUGCCGAUAUCGGCGCGUUGAAUGGCAGGCAGGUUGCAUCGUGGAAACAACAAAGCCGAAUAUCGAUUAAACAGUGCAGCGCGUUCUCUGCGUGCAAGUAAUUAGUAGAUGCACGGAGAGUUUUAAUGACCCUUUAAUAACACGCAACAUCAAAUUAUAAAGGUAGGUCGUAGACCCGUCGCCUAACGUACCCCGCGCAAUCCCGACCGACGACGUUCCUCCACGGCAAAAACAUGUGGCGGUCGAUUAACAAAAUAAUUUCUAUUCCUUCCUCCCUUUGUUUCCCUCGUCAAAUUCGUAAUUGUUAAAGAAACGUACGUAUUAUUAACGUCGCAGAUCACAAAUUGUGUCACGCGGAUGCCCGGCGAAAUUACAACGGCGCGGAGCAAUAUUCGCUACGUGAUACCGACGGGUGCGCGAACAGCGUCGAAAAUUUAAUAACGUACGUGCGCGGGCUCUGAUUGCGAUUGAAUUAAUUACACGGGGAUAUUUGUUAAUCGAUUGUUUUCAAAGUCGCGCGAGUACCGGUGCUCGCCGUUACCAAUGGGCGGCACCGGUUGCGAGAAUUACGCGCAUUAAGCGCAAGCUUACGCUUUAAUUUAGCUGCGCUGCUGUUGCUGCCGCUGCCGCUGCUUUGACUCGAUUUUCUCGUUCCUUAAUCGCGUUACAGUUUUAUAUUACUUGACGUUAUCGUCCUAUUCAGCGCGAGAAUGAAAACGGAUUAAUUAUUCGAUCCGGGUGUACGCGCUGUUAAACUUUUUUUACGAAAAAGAAUGCCGAGAUCGUUGGCAUGCGCGCAUUGCAAUUGCGCUCGCACAAAAGUUCGACACUUUCCAAAUCGAUACUUCGCCCCGGCUGUGUGCGGGCAUCCUCCCGGCAAUAGUAACGGGGUCAAAGCGAUUCCGGAACCGCUUGGAAAUCGACUGCAACCGCAUGGAUCCGGGUUACCGCCGCUCGUUCUCAGAUAUUGGAAGUUUCACGGUGGUCGUUACACCACACGGAAUUAAUUGGUUUAAUUAAGUCACCGAAUUGCUCCCGCUCACGGAUUCACGCCGGAUUAAUGCGUGAUCAGAUACGGCGCACCUGUUUGCCGUCGGGACGCAGGAAUAUAUUCGAAUUGCCAUCGAUAUACACGGAUCGGCAGCCACAUCGAUUACGAGCCGGCGAUUUAUUUGAGCGAUCGAGCGCCAUUCUAUUUGCGGAGAACGGGUAUUCUAUUGCCGGCCCGUCGCGUCGCGUCGCUCGCGCCGUUGCGUUGUUGCGUUCAACGCCGAAAUGGAUCUCGAUUUUGCGGACGGAGCGCCGUGUAAGAGCCACGGCGGUUUUAUUAAUGCGCGUUAAUCGCGUUGACGAAUGACACGGAAACCCUUUCCUCUACGGUGACAACGCGCGCUUCUUCGGAGCAACGCGCAUAUUGAACGUGCCCGAAAUUAUCGCACGUCGCUCCUGGAAAGACGUAAUUGUAAAGAAUGACCUCGUUUUUCAUUAAACUGCCCAUUAGCCGUUCCUGCCCGGCGGGCAACAUUAAAACCUUGAGCGAAAGGGUAAAAGGGUUCCUGAAAAACGCCCGCGGGGACCCUUUCUCUUGUCCGAUGGAGAGAGAGAGAGAGAGAGAGGGGACUCGUACGCUUUCGCAAGGAUGUGGCAAUUAUUCACGACGCAAAGGCCACCGCCAUGUAACCGCUUAAUUGUCGUUUUUAUAUAUCCACCGGGUGACUAAUACCAUGCAAAUCGAUAUCACGGACGUUGUGUGUAUUUUCCCUUGCCAGGGAACACAGUCUUUAGUUACUCCGGCUAUGUAUCGCACAGUCAGCCGAGAAUAUCUCGCUGGUACCUUCGGCGAAUAUUAAUUCACGAGCGUCAAGGGGCCAGCCUAUCUUAGAUAAAGUUAUCGUACGAAGUAACUAAAUAAUUACCGUAACGUUAUUAACGGUCGUGUGUGGCGGCACGUUAAUUAUAUGUUUGCGAGAAGGGCACGUCUGCAACGGAAACGAAUGAAAUAAGAAUUUUCUUUUUGCUGCGAGCGCUUUAUUCGUUAACAGAAAUAUUUUUGCUCGUUGAUAGAUUUAAUAUACGUUUUGUGAAGAAAAGUAUCACGUUUUCGUAUUGGAAGCGGUCUCGUCUCGGCUGACAGACAUGUCGGUGCUCGCGGUGACGCUUUACUUGCGGGAAUCGUCAACUCUGGGGUUUGCACGUCUGCAUUUUACAGUUUUGACGCGUGAUUCCGUCUUCUCGCGGAUAGGGCAGGUAGGGGAGCGAAGGCGCGGGAUAUAAGCGAGACAGCGGGAAAAAGGAAAGAAAUGGAAAAGGAAAAAAAAAGGGGAUAGAGGACGGCCCAGGCGGCGGGAGACCGAGAAGAAAAGACACGAGGAAGAAGCGUCCCGGGAAAUAAGAUUCUGACUUUACUUCUUGACGUAUCCGUCUUUCCAUGGCGGAUCUUCCAGGAUGCUGGAGUAGCAGGUAGAGCGUAGGGGUAGGGGAGAUGAAAAAGGAGCGACUGCUGGAAAUAUCUUACGGACGGUUGAUGCGAUACAUUGUCUUUGCUUAUCUCUUGCGGUGUACGGGUGCGCGCGCGCGCGUGCACAGGGAUGCACACAUACACAAUCACCGCCGGCUGGGAAUCAACAUAUGCAUUACGUGCUUGAAGAGUUCUCCAGGAGUGUACGAUACACGUCGAUGUUAUGUAUGCGGUAUGUCCUCGAGCUAGAUGUGCUCUCGCGAUGCAGGCGGCCGAUCGAUCAUACGAAUCAGAUGCGAAGCGCGAGAAUCGACACUGCUGUAAUUAAUAACGUACAGCAACAGUGGACAGUGACCGAUUGCUCAAUAGGAACAUUUUCAUCUCUUGAUAUACGUCCAUUAGAUUUAGCACGAUAUUUGCAAGAUAAAUUACCUGGCGGCGUCGUGCUGCUUAAAAAUUAUCGUAAUGACGAUUAAAAAUUAAGACAGAAUUUAUAUAUACGUGGUAUAUAUAUAUGUAAACGUUGUAAAUCCCGGGAUUAAACAAUACGACACGUUUACGAGAGCAUUUCUUUUGAAAGUACAAGUUAAAGAUUUAUUAAAUCCGAAACGCAGGGGCUGGUAAAAAAGUCCCUCGAAAUCGCGAGGGUUAUCGAAUUUCGAUCACGUUCCUCUACCACGUACUUUCUGUGGACUCGUGCGAAUUGUCGUGUUCUAGAACCGGGAAGCCUCGCGCGUGCGGUACCGCGUCCGCAAAUUUAAUUCUUCCGCUGUAUGUGUGCCGCCGGGCCGGGAAUUUCAGCGCGAGGCACAGAGACGAGUUGCGCGCUCGUGAAUGUGAGAAAAAAGAAGAUGCAACCGACUAAUCAAACAGAAAAUGCGACGAAUAGGCGGACAUAGCAAGGCUCUCGUAAUUACGAGGAACUCUCGUUCACCGCGCGCGGUUCUCCAAUCAACGGGCGUUAAUUAAUCGAGCCAUCCGCCAGGUGACCUGCGAAAGAUGGGCGUAUCCUUUGUCAUCCCGCCGCAACGUUCCUCGCGUUCCAACAUGGAACGCGCACCUACCCUAUGCACCUACUGGAGGUUAACCGGAGUUGAUGUAUUGAAAAUAACCCUCGUCCGCUAUCUGGACAGCUUAUCAUAUCCAUCAUUCCGCCCUAUUUGUACGGUGUACACGCCUCGACCUUGCGCAUGGAUCCGAAAAUCGCCCGAGCAAGAUUGCGAGUCGCCUGCUCCUUUUUUACGUGCAUCUCAGGUUGAGACAAUAUUGCUUCUUAAGCCCAACGUGAUUGAUUCCCCGAUUCAGUAAAUCUUUAAUUACUAAAAAUGCUAAAAUACAUAAAAUACCAAACUUUCGGAAAAUAUUAAGAGAAUCUUAAGACAUAUAUACAUUUAAAGUUAAUUCAGAAAACGAUUAUUUUAAGAGUAAUGUUAAAAUAACAUAGUCUUGAAACUAUCAGUAAGUUAUUUUAGGAUUAAAUUUAAGUCAAGCCUCACGUGCAAACGCGAGCGCACGUGAUAAAUGUGUAUAGCCGAGGGAGUGCGAUUACGGGAAGCUCCGUAAAUAAUAACGACGCUUUUUAAUUAAAUCAACGAAGAAAAACAUCUGCGGUAGCAUAACUUUGAAAAAUACGCUUGCUGGAUUGAUAUGACGCUUAUGUAAACUUUAAUGGUUUUAAACCAUUUUAAAAGCAAGUUUGUGUUGCUUGUAUUUAGAUUAUACACCAAAAAUGUUUAAAUUGUUUCAAUAAAAGAAAUUGAAACAAAUAUAAAAGAAAAAUACGCGCAGAAUUAAAAAAUUUCGAAAAGAAUCAAUAUCGCUCGUCGCAAUUUGUGGAUGUUAAUAUCUUGAGGAGUAAUUUUUAAAAGCUUAAGCGACCGUGUGAUUUUACGCUUAUUCACCCGUGAAAGUUGAAGAGCCGCAUAUGUUCGCUUAUAAAUAUUAACAAGAACAUCUCAUUAUUUCAGAUUUUGAGCCCAUAAGCCUUAUUUACGGGCGACGCUCCUUUCCCAGUUUUAAGCGUAGAAAUUCUGAUAUCGCGGCCUCGCAUAUCGCGACGGGACCCUUCGAAGGGACGCCUUUGUUUCGCUAUCAAUUCAGGGUUAUAAAUUUAACACACAAUUUUAUCCUGCACGGCGGUGUAUUUCGAUUUACUUGCGCAUCUGCGCCGCGGCCAUGGGCAUCUUUUCAUAAUUUUCUUACGCGGUAUAUUUCACGACAUAAUCCCGGGGUAAUGUAAUUCAUUUACCCGGAAUGCACCCGCUUACUCGGCAAAUGAAUUGCAGCAACGCUCAUUACGCUUCGCGGGCGAAUUAAAUCGGAAUGCGGAAAGAUCCUCGGUUGUUUCCUCGCGAUACGAAAACAUCUCGCGAUUUGCUGAUAGACCUGUCGACUCCCUUCUUUUUUUUUCAAUUUUAAAUUACGCAAAAUACGCAAAUAUGAUAUGAUCACAGCAAUUUGUUUAUUGCAAAUUUAUUGAUAAUUUUAUUAAACAACCGUGCAUGCAUAAUUCAAGUAACGUGAAAAAUAUUGAUUUAUUAUAAAUUCAACUUGUUAUCAAAUAUUCAGAAAAAUUACCAGAAUGCACUGUGUAAGCGCAGAUAUGCUGUAAUCGACAGGAUCUCGAAAGCCAACGUGCAAAGCUAUUACCUGCGGCUGAUGGCUUUCACCGUUGCUUUUAAGCCGGAAAAGGUUUUUGCAUGUUUAAAAUAAAUAAACAAAUGCGAUAGGACAUAAAUGCAAAGUGCGUGAGAGCGUUUUGUCAUAUGUACAUGUCGUUGUGGAUAGACGGGGCAUUUUCACCGUUUCAUCGUUUUAUUCGUUAAGCAUAAAUAUUUCCGGCAGCGGAUAUUUUAUAAAUAAACGUACAUUAUUAAUAUAAUUAAUUAAAAUGAAAUGAAAUAUUCACCUACCGAGGAUAAUUUGCAAGAGAUAAAAUGUUUCAGAAAUAUUUUGUUUCUGAGAUAACUAUUUAUCAUUUCAUUUCAGCAAAACACUAAUAAAUCACGCAAUUCAUACACAUCGUUUAUAAUUAUACAACAAUUUUGUAUCUCGUAAGAUAAAUUCACGUAAUUUAUUUUACGUGGCCAUUUAUUCGAUUGAGAAUUUUAUAAAGGCUCAUCGCGCCAAGAACUCUAUCAGACGCGCAUUCGGAAAUCUCGCUCGAAACAACAAAUAUUUUCAAUAAGAAAACCAGCGCGAGUUUCGCGCACGAAUAAGUAAUACAAGUCCGGAAAUGGAAUUUGAAUAGAAACAUUCAACCGGAACGAACUUUACCGCGAGCUCGUUCCGGCCACUCGAUAAAAGCUCAGGUAUAUUUCGACGGUGCAGUAGUCGAGAGACUUCGUAGCUUUUAAGCUCGCACCGAGAACGUGGAAGCACUCUUUCUCUCUUCCUCCUUCCCCUUUUAAUCUAUCUUCUUCCCUUUUGCGCUACAGAUUAUCCUACAUAAUAAUUUCUAAGCCGUGGGUAGUCCGCCUACGCUUUACCUCGCAUUAUUUCUCGUCGCUCACCUUGGAAUUAAGACGGAAAAUAUAACGAGAUGAAGCGGCGCGCGGCGCGGCGGCGCGGCCGUUCGUGCACAACAGCUGAGGAACAGCGACGUACAGAUAAUCUAAACGCGGAGCGAUGGAGUGGUGGCAGCCUGGGCUACACCAGUUGUCAGCCCGUGAUGGAUGGACGCGGGGCACGUACCGGCGAGAAUUCGUCUUCCUUCUUUUUCAUUUCGUGAACUCCGCCUUAUUUUCCGUCGCGCAUUUUCCGCCGGCGCGCGGCGUCCGCUCGAUACUACGGCCAAUAUUCCUUUCCCGGUUUCCACGACUCGGCGGAAGAUCGGGAUACCGCCUUCCGAGAAAGGGCCAUUUUCGCGAUGCCGGCGUAUAUAUCCAAGGGGGAAUCAUUCCGUUGUUUGAACUGUGAAAUAACUCUCCACGUAUUCUUUGCAUGUAGAUCCGGUGAUCAAGGCCGACCGUGCGAUUUGUCGGCACGUUCCUUUUGAUUAGAAGGUAACACGUCCCUUGGAAUUCUGAUACUUGCUACUGGACGUGCCGGAACUGCGCGGAUUACAUUCGAGACGUUCUCUUGCAGAGUUGUCACAGGACGUACACGUUUCCGCACCCUUCAAGGCAAGCGGCAUCUUCACGCCCCAAUUCUUUCGUCCUCCGGGAUUGGAGGCGAACGAAACGACAGGCAGAAAGAGAGAUUAAAACUUAUUUCCGUGGCAAAAAAACGUCUGGCACUUUUAUGAUGAUGUAAUAUAUACAUUUUCUCCCCUCUUAAUAAUUCAAUUAGAAUAAUAUGAAAUUCUUUUCAGCUUGUUAUUCUUACAUAACAAAAAAAAAAAAAUACGCGCGUUCAUUAUCACUUAUACAUAUAACGCAAUUUAUUCUUUUAUAAAACGCUGCUGCAUAUGCAGUUCUCAUAAUCUAGGGAUGUAAUAUUUAAAAUGCGCAACUCUGAUUAAAGUUGUCGGAUAGACGCGAGUGUCUUCCUUUUUAAAAUUUGCGCGAUUUCUCUAGAAGGCGAGUAAUGAAGAGUUUGCGAUGGUAUAUUCAUGCCACGUACAUGACGAGGAAGAAAGAAAUUCUACCUUCCGCGCGAUUCUUCACUCGCUACUUACGUUUUAUUCCACUCAUCAGCUUUCCCACCCUCCGCGGUACGUGCACGUUCUAAUUCUCACGUUCCCGACGGUACAGACAGAAAAAGGAAAAUAUCCCGUGUGAGAGAUGUGUAAUCCGUUUUUUUUUGCGCUCGGAGGAUAAAAUAAAAAAUAUAAUGCGUUGAUGAAUUUGAGAAAAUUAGCUUUACGGGCUAGCAGUUGUGGAUUGUAACAUACCACGUGGCUUUAAGAAAUUACACGAAUCCUACACGCCUUUAUUUUACGUUUCAUAUAUUUCGCUUUUGCUGACAUUUUGUAGACGACAUAAAUGCCAUAAAUAUAUUGUAUUUUCCUCGCACAUAAACUUGAACAUUUAAUUUAAUUUAGUUAUUUAACAACUGUACCAAAAUAUAUAACUGUUUUGCUUGUAAUAAUCAUAUAUGUUAUUACAUUCGUAAGAAAAUACUAGAAACCAUAACAAUCUUAGAUCUUUCGUUUUCUUCAAGCGAGUUUUCUGUGCUCGAAUGAGUCAGACAUUUUUCUACGUAUUUAUCUUGAUCUCUUCCAUUUCCUCGACAAACAUAGCGUAAAGCUGGAUAGCUUCGAAAUUAUUCAUAAAAUAUGCAUGACAAUGGAACAAAUGUCCCGUGCGAAUUCUUCGUUCUAGUAUUACUUCGUUUCUAUUUAACUCAUCGUUUUCUGGUAUUCAAGAUAGUCAAUCUGCCAAAGUUUUAAUUCUGAUGUUCAUCGAUACCAAGCGCGAAUGAAAAGAGACUUGUAGGGAAUGUCUAAUGGCGCUUUUCUUGCACGUUUAAAAGAGUUGAAUUUUAUGUGUUCGUGCACAUGUAUUGUAUGGCAUACGUGUAUCGUAGGUAUGGCUCUCUAACGCUGGUACAAUAAAUGAGUCUUCAGUUAACCGAAAGGCAAAUCCAAACGCAAUUUAAAUGUAUCUGUAGCUUUUGCAAUUUUACUGACUUGUUCUCAAAUGUUCUUUUCUAAGUAUACAGAAAAAAAAGAAAAAAUUUAAUAAAUAUUAAUGCAAAUCUCAUUAAUUCAUCAACUAAUGUUAACCAAAGAUGUUAGUGAGUUAAUAAUAAAAUCGCAACUGUGUAAUAAAGAAAAUAAUUUUUCAUAAAGAUUAAAAAUAAAAUUGAAAUUUAUAAAAAUAUAGUUUAUAAUAAUAUAUGUGAUUUUAAAACGUGCAAAGAUAAAUUGUUGUACCACACAGGUGCGUUUUGAAACGUGUGCAUUUCAGUAUUAAAGAAUUCCUGGUGAUCGAUUUUACGUAUUUUUCAACAACGAGGAUUUUAUUCUCGCGUCAAACAUGCGGUGGAGCAUCGUGUGGAUUAUAAUCGUUCUCUGUCAAGCGUGAGGCGAAUAUUCGCACUGGCCAGUAAAAACUGGGAUAAAAAUCUGACAGGAAAUAUUCGUUUAAAAUUCGCAGCAAACUUGAUUACUCGCAUCCAUUUCGUUAAUUAGAAAGUCAAAUUUGAAUUCAUUAUUAAUUUUUUUAUCUUUUGUAUGUUAUUCUUUAUCUUAUAGAAAAAAAAUUAAUUCUACAAGGUUACGUGAUUAUUAUUGCAAUAAAUGCCUGUACAUAUUUGUAACGUUAAUAUAUAUAGUGAUAAUAAUUCUAUUUAAUUUCGACGCUACUGUAAUUUACAUUUGCAUUUCACAAAAGAGAAUAAUAAUAUUAAUCACAUUUAACACCAAAUAAUCCAUAUUUCUUGUAUACUUCACCAUUAUCAGUCGCGUUUAGUUAUUCAGCUAAUUAGGAAUACCAAUUAAAUUAUUUUAUUAAUAUAACAAGCGUUAUUACGUAGUAUAUAACAAAAGAGAGUCUGUAAAUAAAUUUUGCUUGUCAGAAAAAGAUUCUUUCGAAAAUUUGCACGCACUAAUGAGAAAAUUCGUUUACUGAAAAAAUUCAACCAAAGUACAAAUCACAAGUGCAUUGUAUAAGUAUAUUUUUUAAAUUAUGUAAACUAUGUUUAACUAACCGUGGAAUUAAUGUUCUAUGACGGCAGAGAAGCAGGUUUAAAAAUGCACCAAAAUACAUUUGCGCAUGUUCAAAAAAGCAAUAAGGAGAUCCGAGUUUUGUAAACGGAGAGAGUGAUGACUGUAUAGUCGCUAAGUAGUAUAUUCGUGAUUUUCGCCGCGUAGUAAUGAAUUUUUUUCUAAAAAGCGCUUUUGUCGCAUACAUGCAUUAUUGUAUGCGCCUAUGUGAGAAUGCGCGCGCGUGCAAAAAAAAAGAGAGGAAAUAUAAUCGGGAGAUCUCUCUCCGGACAAAAUAUAACAGGGUAGUCGCGGAGUGCAACACUAGGGGCAGUUGCACAUCGCUGAACUGACGAUCAGUAUACGUGAAUUUCGGCUGAAUCUCAUUAUUCUAUAAAAACGAAGUUAUGCCGCGCAGUUCGCAGCCUUGUCUCUUUUUUUUUUAAUGGCGCCAUUCAUUUUAAAGGCAUAAGGGGGACAAUGGUGCAAAAUGUGUGCGUGUGUGCGUGCGCCCGCGCGCGUAUGUAUGUGUGAAUCGUAUCACAGCUAUAACGAUGAGAGAAAGUAUAGAAUUUAAAUGCGGGAUUGGAAAUGUCCAAAAUUAUUUUUAUUCUACCGAAAUAAAUACCAAAUUACAACCUUUUAUAAGUAAAUGAUGCUAUUGCAUUUUAAAUUACUUGUGAGUAGUGCAUCAAAUAAAAUUUUUUUUAAAUGUUUUUAAAAGUGUCUAACGGUAAGAGUAUUAUUUUAUUUAACAUGGCUAUAAUUUGUUGAUAGAUAUCGAGACAUUAAGAACUAUGUUAAGUACAAAAAUAAUAUCAAUAUACUUUUUACUAUAAUUCAACUGUUAUUCAGUUGAUUGUUCUAAAUAACGAUAAAAAUAUUCAGCUAAAUCGACAUAUUCCCUUUCUUUUCUGGUCAAGAUCGGACAAGAAAGUAGUAGAGAGAGAAAGAGAGAGACCUAUUUACAGUACUACAUUAAAAAUAGAAAGAUCAAAGAGUGUAUGGGACGAACAGCAAGGACACUGCAGGCUUUUACUUAUUAAUGAAAGAUUCCGUUCUGACUGUUGUGCAAGACGAGUUCCGUUCUGAACCGAAUUCGAGGUGAGCGAGAAGUUGCUGAGACAGGCAAAGGAGAGAGAAAACGUGGCUGUCGCGACGACGACGAUUUCGCAGUGGAGUUGCAAUGGAGAUCGCUUCGCGGCCGAUAUAGGUAUAUCGACGACAUGUGUUUCGAUCGAAUUUCGUGCAAACAUUUCGUAUAUAGCCAGUGCGCGUCGUUUGCAGCGGCCGCGAUAUUAAAUUUUCCAUCAGAACGCGGGUCCGCGGAAUAAAACAUAAAAGUGCGCGCGCGCGCAGGAAGGUUUGUCAGAAACGUGUAUUGUUUACUGCACUACCACGCCUCCGCGAUUUCCACUGCAUUCCGUCGCAUUUUUUGCUAACACGUUCCCAUAUGUGUGUGUGUGUAUGUGUGUUUGUGUGCAUAUGCAUCACAUCCUCAGUGUUACGCGCAAGAGACAAGCGAUCCACCGAAAUUGCGAUAAUGGGACUACAAAUUUUUUUUUAUGGUCUCUGUGUGCAACGGACCGGAGGUUCUCGUGAUUUUUUGAUCGUGCAUGGGCAUUCGCGAGAGAGAAAUCUUGUAAUUCAUCGAUGCGUUUUUUUGAUGGCCGUACUACAGGUUUAUCUCGAAUAUCUCCAUGAUAUUGUUCUCGCAUGAAUUGAAUAACUUUUUCAUCGAGAGCACUGUUGCCGCAAAAGCAUUUAUAUAUUCAAAGUACUGACGAAUCAUAGUUUAAUAAAAUCAUAAGAAUCUUCUCCAAUCAUAGUUGUUUUCGUUGGAUUGCAAUAAAUAUAUAAAAUUGAACAAAAGAUUGAAAUUCUUAGUACAAAGUUUUGUCUGCGGAAAUUUCGUGCAGUCAUUUUCGCGAUAUUUGGAUUGUCUGUACGACAAAAUAAAUUAUCGCAAUUUGGAUUGUCUGAUUAAUUUACAUAUGUAUAUUAAUCGAUAUUUGUCGCGUAUUCGUACGGGGACGCCGAGGAUGUGAUAUUAUUUUGGGCAUCAUCUGUAUGCAGCGUGCGCAAAAAUCGUGGUAAUUCAUUGGCGAUUAAACAAACGGGCGUUUCAACGUGGCAAUUCCUCAGCUGAAAUGAUCGCUCUGCGGUAAUCAGCAUAACAAAUUUCUGUAUAUAAAUCAGCACUGUAUCGGCUCGCACGAGCGCUGUCGCAAUUCGUUUAUGCCGGAUUAAGCGUGCAGGGCGCGCUUACGUAACGUAUGUAUCACGUACAUUUUUCAUUAGAAUUCAUGAGAGGGAUUUCAACGAGCUAUGUGCUAAUGAGUACGUAUCAGGAGAUACAAUAAAUUAGUAUCAUCAUGUUUAUAUUAUGGGAAAAUAUCCCCCAUGUGAUGUUAAUCACAGAAUGGAGAUUUGCGCCACUCGAUUAUAGAAUCCGGUAAAUCGAAAAUGACUUUCCCAAUCUUUGCGAGUUCGGAAUUGCGCGGUCCGCGAGAGAAAGAGAGAGAGAGAGAGAGUUGCGGAUGCGCUUCGUGCUAAUAUCGCGCGAUGGAAGAUGGGCAUCUUAAGAAGCUGAAGGUUGAGGAAAAACUUCAAGCUUUACGAAAAGCGAAAGAGAAGAGGAAAAUCCCAUCAAACUUGAAAGUGCCAAAAAGUUAACGUCUCCCGCUCGGUUUGGUUCUUGUAUUUUCGCUUCCGUCGUCGCCCCGUCUCGCUCGCAUGGCCCGGCAAACAAGCGAGAAAGUCGCGGCUGAAACUUCACCCUGGCGACGGCGCUCGCAGUCUCGUUUGCUCCUACUCCUCUCCUUCGCUCCUUCUUGAUAUGGCAAAGAGAAGAGGCGGCGGAACGUGCCGCAGGGGAAAUAAUACGGUCGAAAACUCAGCCCCAUAACACUCGCGGGAGCGAAAUAACGCCGAGCCGCUACCGCGGAAAAUUCAAAGUCAACGAUACGUUAUUGUUUUUCAAGAGCCGCCGCCGGUAAGCGUGCAACCGCGAAAGUGGAAGUUGCGGAAAGACGAGAAGGGAGAGGAUCCUUCUGACGUGCAGACGACGGCGACGUUUCGCGUUUAUCCCGGAGUUCAACGACGCCAUACGACGCACUUAAAGCCGGAGGUUAUGACUAGGGGGUUCACCAAUUCUCAAAUACGACCUUUCAUUAUUACGAUUAUCGCGAGGGAUAUCUAAGUUAUUAGAAGGGGGCGCAUAUUCCCGAAUUUCUUAACUCUGUAAAAUAUGGAAGCGAAAACUCGGUGAAUUAUAAUAAUGGUGCGCGCUGCUCCAAGUUCGGAGAAAUAUUUUACUCAAGGUAUUAUAAGUGGAACAAUUUACAGAAGAGUAAUUUAAUUUUCUGAAAGCUUGAAUUGAAUCGCAAGGUGCAAUGGUACUUCGUAUAUAUGUGGAAAAUUCUUACUUGAGUUAUAGUAAACAAAUCAGCGGGGAACGCUUGUUUGCGUUGAUGCUUAUGACAAUCGAGACCAGCUUGUGUCGCGACCCAUGCUUUUUUCAGCAUUCUGGGAGUAAUUCCUGUAUGUCGAGCGAGAGAUUCCCUACUCGUCCCCGUGGGAGACCGCAUCUAAUCAGGAUGAAUAGCCUCACCCAGUAGCCACGCCGGGUAGUAUUCUAACCGACAACUUACGGCGCCCCCAUUCUCCCCUACCUUUCGCCCGGGUUCCGGACCAAGCCCCAACUAUCAUCAUCGGUCUUCGUUAUAAAGAGGAACCACCCGGGGCUAAAUCUCGUUUGCCUAUCUCUCUCUCUUUCGUUCUUUCCUGUCGGCGGAGGCCUCGCAAAAUGCCGCGGAAAUCAGUCCCCUGUUUUCAUGCCGUUUAAGUUCUGGGACAACUCGCCGCGGGGUAUCCGCGGCUUCUCGCCUCGAGUGGCACCUUGUCGAUCAUCUUGGAUAAGCAAUACGUCAACCACUUCGCCACAGCGCCGACGGCGACCGCCUUUCUUCGGAGUCCGGAAAAACACUUUAGAAGGGAAAAAGAAAAGUGGGCCAAUGAACACGCAGACGCGUCCGUCGGAUCGAUUUUCACUUUCGCUCGGUGCUAAAUUAAGAGGGAGUAUUUUCUUCGUAACGAAAAGGUUGAUGAUUCAGCCAGGUGUAUAAUUAGCUGUCGCAAAUUCUCCUUUGAAAACUUUGAUUAUAAGGUAGCACAUUAUUGAUUGAGUACGAUCAACAAUUCGGUUUCGAUUACGAUUAGUUUCGGCUGAAAAUUGAAGUUUCGAUUUAAUUUCGGUUUCAAUCGAAAUUGAAAGGGAGUAUCGAUGAGAUAGCCUGAUCAAGUUGUAACUUGCAACAAUAUUGUGUGCAAUAAACUUAUACAGUACAAAGUAUUUAGCGGUUAGACUCUUGAUUUUCUUCAAAAUGCGGAAUUUCCAAUUAUUAUAAAAACGGCACGUGAUUACUUGAAGUGUAACAAAAGAAUGAAAAGAUCGCUUCAUACUAAUAUAUUCAUGUUUCUUUAUAGUUCAAAUAUAUAUUCAUGACGGAUAGCAAAAGGUAAAGCUGAAAAGAAAUAGGUUAAUAUCAUGAACACAGGGUGAGAAUAUCUUCAUAUUUACACAUAGCGAAAUACUUCGACAUGCAAAGAACUGCUCUUAUAUGACAAUCGCACGACGACAUUCAUGAAUUCUCCGCGCGAAAACCGUUCUGGGAGGGUAAAUAAUCGAUGAAUGGAAGUAGGAGUCGAUGUCGCGUGACACCGAACAUAUGGUGGCACUCUUCCUCAACCAAGUAUUGUCGUUGAUAAUUCGGUGACGAUGUCGCACAAUACGUACACCACUCGAAAAUGCAUAGAGUACAAUCACGUCAUUGUGGAAUUUAACCGCAUUAAUUUUCAAUACGCAUUCCAUGUUGAAUAUUUUACGCAGUGACUCGAUUCGCGAAAAAUAACAAAAACAACCGUAAACGAUCAGCAUUAUUAUUGCGCUGGGAUAUUUAUUUUUUUUAUUUAUCGAUUGGAAAUAACACUCAUUAUAAUUUCAGAAUAUUGCUAUUACACGAGUAUUUUGCGUUGAGCUUUGUUUACAGACAAUUUUGCAUUAAGCGGCUUUUAGUAGAUCUGAAAAGUACUUAAAGUCGAGUGUACCCUUUUCCCUGUUCACCCUGAAGGCGGCAAGAGGAGCUCCUCACCCCGACCUCCAUCCAUCGCUCUGUCAAAGUAUCUGUUUCUCCUUCGAUAACUUUUUUCUUUCUUUCCCGUCUAGUCGGGGCAAAUCCUUAAAUCGACUGUCACUGUCAAAGAAAGGGAGACGGGCCCUCGCCAAUCUUUAUUCGUGAAAAUCGUGCGCAAAAUGAUGUGUUAAAUUAGAAAGGAAAAGAUACGAUCGGAAAUGUACAUUCGAGGUUUUUCCUUCAAAGUCUCUAUAAUGUAAGUAAAAAUCGUUAAUAUUGUCAGUUUAUGCAAAACAUGUAUCAUUUAAUUUUCUACCAAUGUGCAAAAAAUCCUGCUAUUGAAAUAAAGAUUAAUAAAUGUAAUAUGUUUUCAUUAAGAUUAUAUAUGUCGAAUUAUAUUGGAAAUAUUUCAACACAUAAAAUUAAAUAAGAGCUAUUGAGAUUAAAAAGCUCGAUGAAACUAGCGAAUUCGAGAGAACAGUAAUUUUAGAUUCUGUUUUUAUAUUAUUAUAGUUUAUAUGAUCAUGUAAUAAGAAACAUACACACACAUACACACAUACACGCGCGUGUAAUAUGCGCUGGUAUGAUUAAAGAACUCAAAGAUAUUUUCUAGUCGUUCUCGAGGAGCUUGCGAAUCAAAUCGGCAAAUUAAGAAUCUGUCGAGACUCGAUUAACUCCAGGAAUUUAAUCUUGCCUAAACGAGGAACGAUUUCGGAACGGCUACUUUAAUAGUUACCGUGAAAAGAAAGAAGAAACGAAUGGGAUCUGCUCUAUUUAAUACUUCAAUGAACUGAAAAUAAAAGUAUAAAAUAUGCAAUUGACCGAGUUAAUAAGAAGUCCAAAUUAAAAGGAAAAUCAACUAACACAAAGACAGAAAUAAAUACAAAAAUAAAGAAGAGAGAGAAAAGUUGGAGAAAUGUUAAUUAAUAAGAAAUUUAACGUUUCUAAAGAAAUGCACAAAAAAUAUUCAAUGCAUAUGUCUUAUUAAUUAUUACAUAUUAAUUGCAUAUUUUUUGUUGCAUAAAAGAAAACUUCUAUGCGGCAGUAAAUGCAUUUUUAAAUCACCGUCAUUAUAACUUGGAAAACUGCGCUCCCUUCUUGUAACAAGUUGCCCCAGGGUUUGCACAUUACCGUGUCAUUAUUAACACCAUUAUUAUAAACUUAUUAAGAUUGCAACAACCUUCUUGCGUUAGGGGACGUCAGCGCAAGCACGUCGUAAUAAAUUGGCAUUUCAUUCUCCGCGAUGGAUGGCGUUUACGUGGUUACGUAAAUUCGGUUGAGUAGAUUGCAGGAAGGGAACGUUACUUUCGCCUUAAAAUCCUCCACCGAGCGUUUCGUGGUAAAUUUAUUAUUCAUAAAUACACGAUAAUUACGCAGUCCUGGUGGACUGCAUUUAUACGUUUGUACAUCAAAUUUAUAAACAGAUUAAGAGCGAAAUGAUAUUUUUCGCGCACGAGCUACACUGUAAUAUCUUUAGUGAAAUAUUAUUUUUGCAGCGGAUAGCGUUUGUGGAUUUUACAUUUAAUAUAACGGAUCUAGCCACUGUCACGUUUUAACGAGUUUUAUAACGCAAUGUUAGUUAGUGGAUAGAAUACCGCGUACUCUGGUUAAAGACGCUUUUCAUAAAGAAAGAGGUAUAAUUUUUUUCGUUGAGAAACGCGAUUCCACCGUUACUUCUAACAUCUGUUAUGUGAAAGAAACAAAUACAGUUUUUUUAUUAUUUUCUGCGUUUGCUACAAUAAUAAUUACGUUUAAUCGAAUCUCCGAUGUUAAAGUCUUACAAACAAUUCGGCGAAAAUUCUGAACGCAAAGCGACGCAAACUAGUGUCAUCGGUGAAUUUGUUUGAUCGAGAGAGAACAAGAGAGAAAGGAACGAUUUUUAAUAUUAUAUUUCACACACAAGUUUGUUAUUAUUUCAGUAUCGAAGGGGAUCCAAUUACGUGCGCGUGGUCAUGUUUUGCGUGUGCGCUUUGAACUUGUCUUUGCCCCGCUUUGAAAAAUUCAUUAACAUUAUGGCCAGCAUGCUAAUUUCAGCAAAGUGUCCCGCAAGCCAUGAAUAAUUUAAGCAAUGCUAUGACCUAGUACUCGGAGGAUGUAUUUCAUGCGGGCGAUGCAGCGAGCUCAUUCAUCUUGCACCCACCGUUCCCUCGUUAAUACACAAAACUUUUUCAUAACGGCUAGUAUUUACGCAAAUAACAACAGCUCUGGGAAAAUAAUAUUAUAUGUCGGGUACUUUUGCAAUAAAUCGUCAUUAAAGUGUGCAUUUUAAAUUAAUUGAUUAAUAUACUCGCGCAUGCAUUCUUCUUUGUAUAGGGAGACAAGUAUUAAGUUAAUGUUUAUUUAAUGGCGAUCCCUCAUCUACCGCGAUGCAGCCUGUAAUAUUUUGGUUUAAUUUUCGAAAUAAAUCAUUCUCUACAUCAAACGUAUCCGCUUUUCACUUGAGCCAGCCGGCCACGGUAACCCUCGCCGACAGGUGAAUAGGUGUACAACUACGACGAUGAGUCCCUGUCAGACGUGAGUAGCGAGGUUGGUGGACGGGGGAGUCGAGUAGAAGGUAACAGGUAUGGGGCCAGACUUCUGAGGAGGGCUUCGCGGUAUUAUGCUAAUCUCGUUAAACUGAGAGCGGGUCAGACGGUACUAGACCUUACACUAUCGUAUUAAGAUAAUAACAAUGAAAGGGUUGGGUUGCGACGAGGCAUCGGCUGCCGCCGCGUCGUUGUAUUAUUAGCUCAACGGUGGCGUACCAGCGUAAUCUUCUCUCUCAGUACUUACCAGAUAGGUAUACAUGAGUAUUCACCCCCUCCCCCGAUCUGAUAGUAACUCGUUUGGCGAACUUCAAGUCCGUGGAUUUACGAGAAGAUUGCUGCCGCAGCGUUUCCGUCGUGCGAUUUCAUCGAAAGAUUAAUUGCCUAAUGGCCCGAAUGUAGACGCAACAGCCAGUCAAACGUGUCAAUUUUGGCUGUCGCGUCCGCGUUUGCGAACUGCGUUCUACGUUUUGCAGUGUAUGUAGAUAGGUUGUAAGAAUAUGCAAAGAAAAUAAGUUAAUUCUUUCGUCAAAACGUUCACCAAUGUGAAUAUACGAGUGAAAUUUAUGUAUUUUUUUUUAAAAGGGCAAAUAGAGAUAUUUUGCCCCUUUUAAAUCGAUUGAAUUAUUCGUGCACAAUCAGUAAACAAAUCACUCAAACUGGAUAAAUUGCAGUGAAUCCAGCGAAUUUAUGCAAUCGAUAAACUUGGAUAUUAAAUCGCCAUCGUUGCAACACGACAAACUUUACAGCAGCGUGUGAUAUCACGGAGCAUGUUUUCCAACAUGAAAAAUUGUUCAUUGCAAGCUUUGCAUGUUUACUCGCGCGCCAUUAUACGACGUUGCACUACAGUUACUGGCAUUCUGAAAAGGUAUUGAACGGGACGUAAAGAGAGAACAGCAACGAGAUACAUCACGGUCUAUUUAUGCAAGGAGAUACAACAAAGUGGAAUCGUGGAAGCAAAAUGGAAAAACUCUGAAAAUAUCGUCGAGAAGGAAUGGUAGAUCUUUUAAUUUAUUUCUCAAUUAUACCAUUUAAAUAAAUUAAGUUUUGCAAUACGUUCUUAUGUCUUGCGCUAAUUACAAACAUGACGGCACGUGAAAAGAAGCUCCGUAUCGUGCGCGGAAACCAUCGCGCCGACUCUUCACCAGAGUCUUUCGCCUUCGCGAAUUAUGAUUAAUAAUUAUGUUAAAGCCACUGCUUCUCUCUCGACGGUGUCGUACCUUCCGGCAGAUUAUGAUAAUGUAGUCCGUCUUGAACUUCGCGGAAAAUUUUCUAAGGGAAGUGCCCGCCCGCGUAUAAAUAUGGAAGAGCUUGAUUGAAGGGAGGCGAAGGAGCGGAUCUGCUCGUUCAGACCUCAGUUGACUCGAAAGAGAAACGCGAAGCUGUAUAGGAUAUGAAAUGUUGCACGAGCGACAGUAAACAUCUUCGCUUUUAAUCUCAUAAUAAAAAAACAAAAAUUUGCGAGAAAAAAUCAAAUAUAAUACAAACCGCGAUGAGCGCAAUUUAUUUUUAUGCGCGCGAACGCUAAAAUAUAAUUAACCGCACAAAAGUCAUUUUAAUUAAAGUAAUACAACGAAACGUAACAAUCUGUAACAUUAAACAAUAACGGGUAAAUAAAAUUAUAGAAAUUUCCAAAUUAGCAUCGCGGAUCAAAUUUUGUUUCGAGAGAGUGUCCUUAGAGCUUCUCAUCAAUUACUCGAAAGUAAAGUACUAAAAUUCCGUUGAUGCUGGAUUAAACUCCAAGAUUAAGUACGGCGCCUGUAAAGGGAAAAUUAUGAAGGCGAAAUGUCGGAGAAAUUUAUCGCUGCCUGGUACACGAGACCGGCAUAAGUUAAUGAUCUCCCGCGUCGAUGCGAAUGAUAGAUGGCAUUAAAUAAUAAGCCGCGUAGAUGCACGUCAUUAAGAUAGCGUCCCUCUGCGCUUCGAACGAAGACAAUAAAUUCUAUAAAUGAGAUCGCGAGAUUUCGCCUGUGUGAAAUAUCGCCCCGUGAUGACGGCAUAUUAUUAAACGGCUCGCGUGCUUGAACGCGAAGGUCUUCUAUCGGGCUCUUUAGCCAUUGGAUUAAGUAAAAUGUCGGACGGUUCCUGUUCUGAUGCAACAGGUGAGGUGCCACACAAUUUUUUAAUGGACAUCACUGAAGCUUGCAAUGGGGAGUUGCAAGAAUAUACACGUUACGAGACCAUUCGGGGCGCAAAUUUAAGCGUUGUUCUGGCUCGCUAAGAAUUUAAAAAAAGCUUUCCCUGACGACCUUCGUUAUAACGGACAUAAAGUCGGUUAUACCCAGGAAUGAAUCUCUCGAGGGUACAAUGCAUGUAUGUACAAAAUGCGUGAAACACCGAGCAUUUUGAAAUCUCGUAUGAGAGACGUUGGAGCGAGGGAAUCUUGAAAUUUCCUCAACAAGAGAAAAUCAUUUCGGACAAGUAUUAGGAAUAACGUGAUUAAGUAAAAAUUAAGAUGGACGCUUGUCGGAUAAUAAUAUAUCAGCGGUGGAAGCCGUCCAGGUGUAGAAUGCGCGCAAGGUAGCUUAACGUGUCCGAUUGCAGUUGGCCUUAUGCCAGUCUGCUAAGUGGCCCACGUUUUCCAUUGCCGGGUUAUUCGCGCUAGGCUAUCGUCGACGUUCUGUACUCUCUGACCCUACUCGGAUUCGUACGUACCUGCACGUUUCAACGAUGCACUCUGCAGAUAGAACGAUCCCAUAUCCUUCUAAGUGCCGCUCAAAUCAGCACCAGCACUCUUGUCGGCAUCUACUUACGCGCGCAACAUCAUGCUCGGAUUAUUAUAAUUUUAUUCCGCACAGACGAUAAAGUCGUUAAACACGCUGUCGAAAAUAAUCCAUCAUCUCGCCUCAUGUAUUAUCUUAAUCAUACGAGUAUUCAUUUAUUCAAUGUUUUGUGUUAUUAAAUGCAAUAUUAGUUCGACAAUAAAUUUGGAGCUUGUGUUAGAUUAAAUGUACAAUAUAGUAUAUAUUUGUAGAAAAAAUAAAUUUUAUAAUAAAAAACGUGAUUUAAUAAUGCGAACGAGAUUUUUCUUUAUUUCUCUCUCUCCCUCUUAUUAUGCUUUUAUCAAUAUUAGUUAGCUUAAUUAAUAUUUGCAUAACUGUGAUUUUGCAGAAUUAUGAACAUAUUUCGAAAUAGAUGCAUCAAACCAUUUGCACGUAAUGUUUUAGUUAGAGAACUACCCGUAAAUAGAAUUAGGGAUCGUGGCAACGACACGGAAGAGAGAGAGAGAGAGAGAGAGAGAGAAACGAGAGCUAAGCGACAUAGGUACAUGUAUGGACAUAACUAGGUUUGGAAUCCCUAGUUGCUUGUCGGAGUCUCUACCUAUAUUCGCUUGCUAUUUCACAGUAGUUAAAUUUCCUUAGCGGGAUCAGCAGCGCGUAGCUAGAUAAUUAAUAUAACUUGCAAAUAAUUGUUCGAUCAAUGCAAAAUGCAUAGAUGUACGUUGAAUGACAACGGGUCGCACAGGCGAUCAAUGCUUGAAGAAGAACCGUACGAUUAAUGUUGAAAUAAUUGUCUUUGCAUUAAUGCCGCCGAGAGUUUUAAGCUAGUUUACUCAUAUACUCGGCGUAAUCACUUAGUUUAGAUGCAUGCGUGAGUAACGUCUACCAUUGUGAACGAGAUUAAAUUUCCGUCAUCUUAAUUGAUGCUACAAGUAUGCUUAACGUUAUUAUGGCGUUGCUGUUAUCCGCGCAUGAUGCAUCACCGCGCUAAUUAGACACAAAAUUGGUUAAGUCCAAUCCCGCGAACCCGCGCGGUGUAUCCUGUACGAAGUUAAUCCAGCGGUUGGUACAUGUCAGGUGUAAAACGUAAUCCGUAUGCAUGUACGUGCACGCGUGUGGGCAUACACGCGCAUAAUCAAAGUCAUCAGGAGUUUGCGCUUUGGCGGUUUGACUGUGCGAUUACGCUUAGGAUAACAAUAAUAGCUUCGGAAGUCGGUUAGAUUCAGGAGGAACGUAAAUUCUCCGAAAUUCGGUUGAAAGCGCGGAUUAGCCGCCGACCGUUUGGCAAUCUGAUUAUCGCGAAGUGUCCGGGGCGGAAAGUAUCGCGGUGCUGCGAAAACGAAAACUACCGGGCGAAUGAAGCAGCUCGUUUUAGAGCAGCUGCAUCGUUUGUCGAGUCGUAGAUAAGAUCUUCUACUCGCGAGCGUGAAAAGAAAACUUUUAACGAGAUUCAACUUAUCAUAACGUAGCACGUUUCAUACUUUCCGCGUGCUUCUCGCGAAACCAUUCGCUGCUCACUUUCAUUCUUUACGUGCGUGCACUUUAAUUUGGCUUUUCGCUAUUGUCUUCUCUAUUGCAUUUUUAAUUAUGCUCCAUUCAGUCGGACAAGCGUGGCUGUAGGACAUCGUCGUUCUCUUUCGCGCGUGGACAACUGUUACUUGCGUGCCUCUGUGUGACUCUCUUAAUUGUGCAUGCUCGUCUUGGGAAUACGGCUGAACGUGCUCGAUUGAUAAUUUAAUAUCGCGCGAGUAGCUCGGAAAUUAAGCUGCGCUCUCACGGCGGCGUAGAGCUGUCUCGGAGUUCGUGCCUAUCGGGAUUUCCACGUGGCGGGCGGCAGUGCAUCGCAGGGGCGGUGGCUCGUGCAGACUUUACAGUCGAGUGGUUUCACAUGAUUAUGCGGUGGUACGAUUGUAUUCGUGUCGACAGAUAGCUCGAGGAGAACGACGCGCGAAAGAGAUCGACAGAAAAAAACAGACGGAUUCCCUACUUUUCGAUAUUAAAUUUUUUUCAAUGGGACAAGCGAAGACCUAUCGGAAGAUGCUAAAUCGCAUAAACACCAAGUAGGAACAUGGUGCUUAAAUCGCGGCGAUAUAUGGAAUACGUCCAGAUGUAUUCGUAAGAACUGGGAACGGCUAUGGCUUCCAUAACGCGACAACGUUCGCCCGCGGAUCAGACGGGAAAAUCUGCUUAGCGAGCGAAAUGCGCCCGGCGCGGCGGUUCGGCGGCAGGAGAGAGGGAUAUUAUAACGGGUUUACGAAUAUACGAGUAUAUCGAUUUUUCAGAUCCGCACCGCUGAGAGAACGGAGUCUCGCACGCGCGGCGAUGCGAGAUAAUAUUGGUCCUUGUCGAAUAUUUGUCGAGAAGAUACUUCAUUAUAUCUUUAUUAUCUUAAAUUUCACAUUAAACUCAUAAGAGAAAGUGGGCGUUUUUGCUAUUAAAUUUUCUAACAACACUACUUAUAGAGCAAGCGUUACUAGUACGUGUAUCUCUUCCUUCUUCCUCACCUCCUUGUAACAUUAUUUUUUAUGAUGCUGGGAAAAUUUAAAAAACGCAAAUGACAGUUGGAUAGCACGAGGUGGUUAAAUUUCAGCGACAUUGAAAUUUUAUCGAAUACGUUCACAUGACGUAAUCAGCUUUCGCAACCGUCAAACGCAGGUACAUACGCCUUGAAGCUAAAGACGCUUUGCAGCCGUCUACGCCGUUAUGUAUCGACGUUUUGCGGUGCACCGUCGCUUUAACAAAACUGUAAAUACGAUAUUCUACGCGAGUCGUCUUUGAGAGUCGGCAAACUAUUCAUUCGAAUCCGAUAGUUGCGUCCUCAUGGUAUUCCGCUUACAAACACGUCGGCAAACAAAACUGUUGCAGCCCAGCUGCGAAAUGAUGAUAGGACGUGAAUAACAAUAGCGAGGCCUUAUAGAAGGUUCCUUUUAAUUACGGGAAUAGAGGACGGCCGUGGACGAAGGAGAUCCGGCAGAGGAAAGUCCAAUUUAAUUAGAAGAUCUUGUCGAUCGAUUCGAGUCGGUCUACCAAUCCAGCCGUUACUCCACCGCCUUCCUUCCUUCCUUCCUCCUCCUUCUCCAUCUGCUGACAACGACAACGAGCUCGAUCGUUAACGCAAUUCCAACUCCGUAACGUUAUUACUCGUUCGAAUCUAGCGCUAGGUUGAAUCGAAUUUAACCUCGACUGGAAGUCGGGUCGGACGCUAAGGGCGUGACGAGUGGACUUUAAAGUUUCUUCUAUACAACUCGUUAAAUACCGUGAAAUGCUGUGAUUUGUCCGUUUAUCGAUAUAUCCGCGACAGAUACAAGGAUUCACAUUAACACUUAGUAUUCUCAUAUUAUAGUCGAGAAAAACUGACGUUGAGCGUUUUUUCAACACUCAAUAUCAUUUUUUCCACCUCGACCCUCUUCAACGUACGUUGCGUCAAUAUGUAAUAGCUUGUAGCUACAAAAAAUUACUCCCAACUCGAUUUUAACGGCUUCAAUAGUACAGAAAUCCACCUGCCUGGUUUGCUUGGCAAUCUUGUUAUCCGAGUUUGUCCGCGCAGGCUAUUAAUAUUGCGAAACUUCUCAAUUUGCCGACGAACGAGCGAGGAAAAGAAUGAAAUAUAUGUAGAUAAAUGGAUGGGGAAGACUGGUUAGAUGGAUGAGAAUACACGAACAAAAAUCGAUGAAAAAAUAAUGGGGGACGAACGUUAAUUUAAACGCGGUGGAGAGUUAGACAUUAAUAAGUAUCGCCAUUUAAUGAACCAAAUUUAUAUUUGAACAUGAUAGAUUGGACACGAUACGAACACUCUAUAUUGGCGAGUGCGCGAAGUUUUAUAUAUUCGUACAGCAUUGAAUACAUUUGUGUGGAAAAUCAUUGCGAAUCGAAUAAACUUAUCUGACUGUGCUGAUAUUUUAAACAAUGCGUCGAAAAUUUAUGUCAUGACAUCAUUCUUCGUCUCUCGAUUUGUGACAAAUUCUCACAAAAUCAUAUAUAUUUUCAGAUCUCAUGGUUUUCUACACAUAUACGAAAUGUUAUAUGAUUUGUAUAGGAGUAGUGUAUAAUUGAGUAAUAUUAAUUUCUAUCGGUUGAAAAUAAUUAACGCUGUUUUAAAAAACAGACUGUUUUUAUAAAAAAAAUGAAAUUUAAUUAGAUCUGUUAAAUUGGCUUAGUUUAGCUAGGGAGAAUUAUUUCUUCGGUAAAACGUGAAAAAUAACAAUAGUGCUCCCCAGACUGUAAGAACGACAAGAAUGAUCUAUUAGAUUGCGUCAGCAUCAAGAUUCAUGAGUGCCUUCAUCAUUCCGCUCAAUGAUGCGUCAAACGCAAUCAGAAUCGAGAUUACCUCGACGAAGCCAGGAGCCUCGCAUUUCCCAUAACUAUAUCCUACCGAUAAUCUAACCAAUUAUUGUAGUUCCCGGAAUGCAAAUGCAAACGACGUAGGGUAGAUGACGUUUGAAGCAUUAUUUCUGCUUUGUCGACGACACCUCGCGUGCCAUUCUUGUUCGCUACUUAACACAGAAUUACGUUACUCACUCGCAAUACCGUAUAAACACGGAAAAGAGCUUCUGCCUCUUGUUUCUUGGUAAAACAACUUUCGUAUUCCUUUGUAAGGGAUCUUUCGUAAUAAACAUUUUCCCGCCCGACGAGAAUAUUUGACCUAGCCUGUAAUUAUCCAGAGGAUUCUGCAAAAAUCGAUCACGGACGCAGAAGAAAAAAAAAACGUAGGAAGGAUCAUUGCAAUUGUUCUUCGUUUUCCACUGGCCGAUACGUAUCGCAAAUUAGGUUUGUCCAUGUGGUUGCCUGAGCGUUUUGUCGGAACGUUUUCAAUCUCGUAAAAGCGACGUAACUGAGUUAGCCAAACUGAUUUCUCUUACUCCGGCCUAAUUGGCCAAGCCUCCGGUUAGAUGUCCGUUUCCCUCGUAUACACAUACACACACACACAUACACACACAUUUAUGUAUCGCCACACACGAUUCUCUCGUACUAGUUAGUUUCUAACUUGUCGGUACAUCCAUCUCUAAUUAAAUCUUUACUCGGAACAUCUGAUUCUCCGCGGACAAGCAAAUAUUCUUUUUUUUUUGGUUUUAAUUUAAGAAGAUUUUAAGUAUCCGAGCGCAUUAUAAUUUUUAAUCUACUUCUGUUUUUGUUUUAGAAUAUAAAUCUAUUCUAAAUAAUCUGUAUAACAAAUGUUAUCAAGCAACGAUUAAUGUAUCAUCUUUAUUGAUAUGUACUAAGAGAGUUAAUGCAAACUCUCGUAUCUAUUGCGAUAUAAAAUGUCUUUAAAUCGGCAUCGCUUACACUCUUUAUUAUGACAUGUGUAGCUCGCUCGUGUACCUAUGCCAUUCGGCUAUACUGACUGUGAAAAUCGUAUAAUCAUCGUGUUAAUUAUUCCGUGCAGUCAUUAAUCUAUGUCAUGAAACAUAUAAUGUAAGAUUAUUUCCUAUUUUAAAAUAAAUUAACAUUCGCGAAAAGUGUUUUCUCUAGCAAUGUGUGAAACAUUUAUGUAAUAAUAUUCGAAUAAAUACAUCGACUAUUCGAAGUUAAUCAAUGUUAAAGUUUGAGAAACAUCGUAUCUCUUAAAGAGACUUAAUUCUCUUUCACUCAACUCACUUAAUUAAUUUUCAAUAUUAUUAAAAACCUGAGAAGUACUUAUCGGAAGCUCUCUAUUAAAAGUUUUUUUUCUAAAUAAAGAAAUGCGACAGUAUUUAUUACUGCAGGUAAUAAGAUUAAUAGUUAAAAUACAAUUUGAUUCAAAUAGCUCUCUUAUUUAAAAUAAUUAACUAAUAAUAGAGAAAUAGAAAUUACGAAAAAAAUCUAAUGCAGUUCUCUUUGCGUACAUUUAUUUCGUGUGUAUUUAAUUUUACUACAUACAAAAUUGAGUCUCAACUGUAUGAUUAUCAAUGUUCUGGCUCUAGUUUUGCAUCCUUUUCAAAGUGUGGUUACGAGUAAGGUACUCCACGUUUCCAGAAACCAAUAUAAGACUUCAUCCUUCUCAAAUUAUAAAGUCCUGUCUUGAGGAAGAUUCACACUGGCUUUCCGGAUACGUACCUACGUGAAAGUGAACCAGAGCCAAAAUGUUGGUAUUCAUUAUGCAAUUAUGCAAUUAUUCAAUUUUAUGUAGAAUAAAGUUAAAUACAUGUUGAAAUAAAUUCCCGCAAAUAGAACUGCGUUAAACUUUUAUAGACCCAUUUCUAACCUCGUAGAUUAAUUGUAAUCUUGGUUUAACUUACUUUUUAUCCUUUGAAUUUUUAAAAUUAGAAUAAGAUAACGAGUAAGUUAAACUAAGUUAACUUACGUUGGUGGAAAUGGAUUUUUUUUUUCUCCAUUGUACUUUAAUUAUUUUAAAUCAAUCAUUUUUUUGCGAGUCUAUGCAAUUACACCUAAUAAAAUUCAGAAUUGUUAAUUCGUUGAGAUAAAUCUCGAUUCCGCGUAGACGUAGGAAAUCGAACGUCUAUACGAACAAAGUUAGUUAUUAUACGUCGCUUCACCCGCCCAAUCCAACUAUGCCAACAAACUUGUGUCUUAACUAAACACGAUGGCCAAAAUGUGACGUGUAUGUGUUCGAAACACAUACAUGUCAUAUACGUGACAACGCAUGAGUUAUAACAAUGAUCAGCUCGUUAUCAACAUGUCGGACCGAGAACCACAAUAGGGCCCCAACCGGCAGUGGCGCUUUGUAUUGUCGCGUGCUUGUUGUAUGCCGCGUAUAUGAGCAUGAUAAUCGCAAUACAACCGGAUGUACGCAACAGCGACAGGUGCGCGCGUUGCUCGCGAGCCGCCAAGCAUUGUACAUUUACAUUGAACUAUGAUCGAUAAUAGGUCAUGACAUGACGGGAGCGGAUUUUUGACGGCGCAUAUACGGGCGAUCGGCUCGUUAAUUCUCUAUAAUAUGAAUUUGCCAUAGCUCAGUAAUAUAUAUUUUUUUGCACCUCCCCCAUUCCCAUUGUUGUUAUGCUGAUGUGUGUAAUAUCGAUGUAUGACGGGCGACGACGCUCUUUAUUCACCAUAAAACUCUUAUCGCUGUCGCUCUCUCCUACGCAUUUUAAUCCGACGCGAGAGACUCGACGCGACGCGUUUUAACGCAACGAUCGCAUCGCGACGUGACAUUUAAAUGCUGACAUUUAAAUGCCGCUUAAAUAUUAAAGUUCUCGCCGCGGUGCGCAUCACAUAUUUAAGAAAGGACAGCCGGAAAAUUUCACAACGAUCCGAAACCCCGGCAAUGGUUCACAUCUUCGCAUACGGAUACGCGAGUAGAGAGUUACUACGAAAUCGUAUACUCCAUAUGAAGCGUAAUUUGAAGUUACUCUCCUCCGGAUGCCAUAAAAUCACCGCAAGGAUCACUAUCGGAGCCCAGUGGGAAUCAAGCGAGAGCCGAUCCAUCCGGCCGGCCGAUCCAUUCGCGUAAUCUUCACAGGAACGGAGGAAAUUUCCGUCGUUGUCAAUCCAGGACGUGAAACGUCCCUAUCCCCUGUCGUGAACGGCAGUGACGUUUUCCGUUCUUGCCUCGUCACUCAAUAUUUUUUUUCUCCAUUAUUUCUCGCGCGCACCCAACUCUUUCCUUCAACGGUAUAAUCGUUACCCACGUUGCCGUCUGUCACGAAUAAAAGUAUCUCGCGAUUUCUCAUCAUCGCGAAAAGAUAUACUAUGGUAUGUGUCGCGCGACUAACGCUGAGUGGAUUCGACUUUUAAUUAAACGCCAUUCAAUUAUACGCGCUCCGCCACGUCUCUACAUCCGGUUGCCAGUUUACGCGAGUAUACAGAGAGUUCUUCAUCGUUUCACUGCGAAAUAAUGCAGCCUCCAUUUUCUCUCUGUGUACUCCUGCUUUACAAGGGCGCGAGAAUAUAUAGUGUUGUAAAAGUGAGAUCGCGCUUAAUGCGAUAAAGUUAAGAAGGAAAUAGAAUCCGAUAAUCUGUCGUUCGAAUGAUAUUUGCUCUCCGACGCGAAAUUAUUGAUAAAUGUCGCAUUCAAAAUUUUAAGGUGAACUCAAAAGAAAGUUCGUACCUGCGCAGAUGAAACGCACUACACAUCUAGUUUAUGUUCAUAUCACCGACUAAUCGAAGCGAGAUAAGAUCGGACGAUUCUAAUUAGAUAGCCGUUUCUCAUAAAAUUCCAUUUUUCGAACAAAAAGCACUCGAAUGGAGAAAGAAUUGUGCGCUCGACCUCGUUCUUCUUCUCGGGCGCCUUCCUACAUCUUUCUUCCUCAUCUCCAGCCUUGCGCGUCCAGCUACUUCUUCCGUGCAUAUCUCUUCUCCUCUUUCUUUCUCCCGGCCGACAUUAUUCCCUCUAGCUCUGGUCUUCGGUGUCGGUAUUUAUAGCGUGGAGAAACCACAGAGUCCCGGGGAAAGCUGCUCAGCAGGGUGGAAACUAGCGACCGAACCCAUGAACCGUUUCUUCCAACGACGUCCAGAGAGGCAGCAGCAUCCCCCGGUUCUCCUCCACACGCACUGCGGAGAAGAAGCACGUGGAACCCGGUAUUCCAGCUAAAAGCCUUAAUCGCUGUUUUUACCGCUUUUCUUUUUGGAAGAACGGAAUUACUGCUCCCGCGCUUCGUUGCGCCGGCUUCGCGGCGCGCUUGCGGUUUUACCGCGGCAACUUCUUACUUCAUCGUGCUCUUUAACUGCCCUGCUUCUUCACCAUGGAUAGAUCCGGCAUCAUGCUUCACGUUGUUCGCGCUCUAUUCUUUGUGAAGAUUUCUCGCGGCAGUUUCUCGGCGCCUCGACCAAAGCGCUGAAAGUUUUAGCCUCAGCGGCAAUCAAUCUAUUCCUAACCUUGUAGAUAAGGAAUGCGUUAGACAUUGUUUAAACAGUAGUAAUGCUAGUAGAGUAUUUUAUUUUCGCAUAGAUAUAUCUUAAAUUAUAUUGUGUUCGAUGUAUAUACUCGAUAUAUAAACGAUAUUCCCUUGCGCGCUUCGAAACUCAAAAGUGGUUUACCUGAGUCUUAGGAAUUACUUUACCUCCAGGCAAGAGUUGUGAAAUUCUUGUUCUUUUUUAUAUUUACGCGAAAUAGAAUUUUAUCGAUACUUCGAUGUGGCCUCCGGUUGCUCGUUCGCGGAAAAAUCGUUUUCUCUACCGUCAGCACCCUGCGACCAUUUCCUUUCCAUUAUUUCCACCAGCAUUCCGGCAGUUAAUAUUGGAAUCCUUCCAAGUAUUUCACAAUUCAAAUGGCAUCUUUGCUCCGCACCGGCCAGUUUCUAUGGCUGAUAUAAGCGAUGUUUUGCAUACCUCUAAUUGCAAUUUCAUUAUUCGGAAACGACAGAAUGUCUUAAUGAAUUGGACCAUUAUGUCAUAACAUUACAGUCGGUAUAGAGAUGCAGAAAAAUUAAAAAAACAAACAAUAACGUAACCGUGAACCCUUUUAUCAAUGCGCCAUUAAUAUUCAAGAAUUCUUUUGAAUAUUAAAUUCUCAUUCUUAUCUCGGUGAAAGUGAGUUUGAUCCUGUAAAAAAAAUACAAAAUCAUUUCGUAUAUGUGUCGAUAUUUUGAAAUAUUUUGCUAUAAAAGUUUAACAUAAUUGAUACUUUACACACACUCUUUAAUAACACAAAAGUUAGCUAAAAUAUAUAUUGUGCCUUGACAUUCAUUCUAAAAACUAAUAUGCUUUUAUAUGACUGUAUAACAGAUGCAGACGUGUACACGGUCAUAUUGCAUGUGCCAGCACCGUUAUUGCAUAGUCCAACGGACCCUCAUAGGGCUUGCCGGCCACUCGAGACGACCGUAUCCAUAUUGACUUAAGUACCUGCAAGAAUUAACAAGCCGACCGCUUUUUGUCUGGCUCAACUUUUGCGAUAUCACGAAGAGAAUGUUGUUAAAAGAAGUUUUUGACAAAAUGUGGCAAAUGCUUGACAAAACCGACAUUAAUAACUGUCGUAAAGUCUCUUCGACGUAUGCUUACUUGUUUAAUGCAAUUGCGCUGUGCAUAAACUGUUUUCCCGAGAAUUUUCAGGCUUGAUGCGCGAAAGUGCGACUCGAGCGUUUGACGCGUACAAGUAGGGACAUAGGUGAUAGAAGUAGAUGGCCUGUCAGUUUACCGAUGUUCCCUCUGGGAUGCGUCAAACGUACGAAACGAUGGUAAACCUGCUUUUCUCCAGCCUCCGCGCUCCCUCAGGGCCAGUGAUAAAACCAGGGCCAGUCAGCAUUCGACAAUGAAGGCGUCUUUACCUUCCCUUUUUUUCGACAAAAGCUCCCCGAUCGUUGAGUGUCUGACUAGGCGACAACUCGUAAAUUCCAGUCAAUCGUUGUCGAUUCGCGAAAGAAGGGAAAUUGGAGACGAAAAAAGCUGUGUGUCGUUUGUGAAAAUUAUCGAUAUGAUAUAAGUGUAUAGGUGACAAAUUUUACAGUUUUGUUUUUAUGUAAAAAAAAAAAAACUUGAUUUUCAUUCCUUUUUAAACAUAACAACUUCAAAGGACAAACGCUCAAAUCACAGUAGUUUUUAAAUUAUAUUAAAUUUAUAGUUAACAAAUAAUAAUAUAG